UACGUAGGGGGCGAGCGUUGUCCGGAUUUACUGGGCGUAAAGAGCGCGUAGGCGGAAGCUUUAAGUGUGGCCUGAAAGCCCCCGGCUCAACCGGGGAGUGCGGCUGCAAACUGGGUUUCUUGAGGGGGAUAGGGGAGAGUGGAAUUCCUGGUGUAGCGGUGAAAUGCGUAGAGAUCAGGAGGAACACCCGUGGCGAAGGCGGCUCUCUGGGGCUGUUCUGACGCUGAGGCGCGAAAGCUGGGGGAGCAAACAGGAUUAGAAACCCUUGUAGU
rnacentral:rRNA from 1 species